AGUGAACGCUGGCGGUAGGCCUAACACAUGCAAGUCGAACGGCAGCACAGUAAGAGCUUGCUCUUACGGGUGGCGAGUGGCGGACGGGUGAGGAAUACAUCGGAAUCUACUUUUUCGUGGGUGAUAACGUAGGGAAACUUACACUAAUACCGCAUACGACCUACGGGUGAAAGCAGUGGAUCUUCGGACCUUGCGCGAUUGAAUUAGCCGAUGUCGGAUUAGCUAGUUGGCGGGGUAAAGGCCCACCAAGGCGACGAUCCGUAGCUGGUCUGAGAGGAUGAUCAGCCACACUGGAACUGAGACACGGUCCAGACUCCUACGGGAGGCAGCAGUGGGGAAUAUUGGACAAUGGGCGAAAGCCUGAUCCAGCCAUACCGCGUGGGUGAAGAAGGCCUUCGGGUUGUAAAGCCCUUUUGUUGGGAAAGAAAAGCAGCAGGUUAAUACCCCGCUGUUCUGACGGUACCCAAAGAAUAAGCACCGGCUAACUUCGUG
rnacentral:rRNA from 1 species